ensembl:lncRNA
AAAUAAAUCCACUUCUUACCUAUCUCUUUGCCUCUGAAUUCCUUCUGCUCUGAGAUGUUAAAACUUGAGCUUCGAAUUCUGUGCAGCUGGUGUUAUUGCCUGAUUUUAUAUUUGUGUGGACACUGAGGCCCAGAGCCGUGUGAUGACUUCCCAAGCUGUGUAAGUGGCAAAACUACCUUUCAAAGAGGUGUUUCCAUGCGGUGACCUUAAGAGUCCCAUUGUUUCCUGUGAAUGAUGGGCCCUGGCUGCCUUCCACCCAUAUUUCCAGGCCUUUAGAGUGAGACUGGUCAUGGGCCUCCUUCUGUCCAAUGGCUGUGAAGAGAGCCGGAACAACCCCUUCCUUAGUGUUCAAACUUGGAGUGAGUCUAAUCAAACCUCCAUGCUGUCUGUUGGCCAAGAGGAGGACACAGGACACACGGCAGGCCCGCUUGUGCCCCUCCUGGGGCUGUGAAUCACAUGAAGACUGAGGUGAAGAAGAAACAGCUGUUGUGGCCGAUGCAACCCAAAGGGGAACUUAGGGAAAAAUGACUUCAGUUCCUGCUCCCGAACUCCUAGUCUGCCCCAGCCCCUAUCCUUUCCUGGGUCUGACAACAAGCCUGGCCUUUGAUUCUGGGAGCUAUCUGAUACUGUCUUCAUAAUCCCUGCUUCUGGUUGAGUGAGGCUAAAUGGUUUCUGUUGCUUCCUACCAACACACCCUAACUCAUACCCAGCCCCUCUCAAAGGCUGGUAUGAAUGGCCUGGGUUCACACCAGCUUUCCCCUGAGCACCUAGCUGGUGCAGGCUGUGGAGGCAGGCCUUGCCUGUCCCCAGUCCUCAGCUCCUUCCUCCCCUCUGUCAGAGCC